rnacentral:lncRNA from 1 species
CUGCACUGACCAACAGCUCUGUAACAGCAUUGCAAUGCUCUCUGAGAGCCGUUAUAUCUGUAAAUUGUCACCUGCUCGCUUAUCAGCUGUGUUUAGGGACAUACAAUAACACCCAGCUCACCUGUGUCCAUUUUUUUGCGGGGGUGGGUGGUUAACAGCCUUGUGCAUGGCUCUUGCUGUGCUAGGGCAGAUCUUUUCAGUGUGAAUUACCUUGGAAUAAUUGGGCUGACAGUUGCUUGGCAGUGGAAGUGCCUGUUGCUGCAGGACUUCUUCCUCCAUAAACUCUUACAGCAGCAGAGCUGCGGUGCGCACCCCAGUGCAGACAAAUGAUUCAACUGCUGCUGAGUCUCUCCAAGGCUCUGGCAGUUGUGGAUAAGAUCAACAAAUACUAAUUAAACUCCAGUGUAUGUUACAGUGAAGUCCAGAAAGAGGUGACUAGUCCUGUGUUUGGACUAUAUGCCAGCAGCAAUCAUCACUGACACCUGUAAGAAGGAAGAUUUUUUUUUUCUUUUUGGAUGAUUUGUGUCAGGGGAUG